AUUGAACGCUGGCGGCAUGCCUUACACAUGCAAGUCGAACGGCAGCACGGGAGCAAUCCUGGUGGCGAGUGGCGAACGGGUGAGUAAUAUAUCGGAACGUGCCCAGUAGUGGGGGAUAGCCCGGCGAAAGCCGGAUUAAUACCGCAUGAGACCUGAGGGUGAAAGCGGGGGAUCGCAAGACCUCGCGCUAUUGGAGCGGCCGAUAUCAGAUUAGCUAGUUGGUGGGGUAAAGGCCUACCAAGGCAACGAUCUGUAGUUGGUCUGAGAGGACGACCAGCCACACUGGGACUGAGACACGGCCCAGACUCCUACGGGAGGCAGCAGUGGGGAAUUUUGGACAAUGGGCGCAAGCCUGAUCCAGCAAUGCCGCGUGCAGGAAGAAGGCCUUCGGGUUGUAAACUGCUUUUGUACGGAACGAAACGGUCUGGGUUAAUACCCUGGGCUAAUGACGGUACCGUAAGAAUAAGCACCGGCUAACCACGUGCCAGCAGCCGCCGUAAAAC
rnacentral:rRNA from 1 species